AAGGGUCAUAAUUAUGAUUACAUAAUAGUGGGAGGAGGCACAGCUGGCUGUCCAUUGGCAGCAACUUUGUCACAGAAAUUCAAUGUGUUGUUGCUGGAAAGAGGGGGAGUCCCAUUUGCCAAUGCAAAUGUCUCCUUAAUGCAAAAUUUUCACAUCUCUUUGGCUGACACUUCUCCUCAUUCUGCUUCCCAAAUUUUUGCUUCAACUGAUGGUGUCUUUAAUGCAAGAGCUAGAGUCUUGGGUGGAGGCACUUGCAUCAAUGCUGGUUUCUAUAGUCGCGCUAGCCAAAGCUAUAUCAAGAAAGCAGGAUGGGAUUCUAAACUGGUAAAUGAAUCAUUCCCCUGGAUUGAGAAGCAAAUUGUU
rnacentral:misc_RNA from 1 species